CGGGUAGGACUGUCUGCAGUCAGAGGUGGGUCUACAGCCUGUGCUGCCCCAUGUCAGCUGGCUUUCCCCUCCACCGUGCCCCUGAUGGGGGGGUUGCAGAGGGACCAGUGCUCUCCCCAACGUGCUGUGCACAGCCCCUGGCCAGCCCAGCUGCUUUCUUUGGCAUGGUGGGAGCUCGCUUGGCUCUGGUGAAAAGCUGUGUCUUGACACUGAUGUAAUCGGAAUCCAAAUAUCACUGAAGGAAGCUUAUCUCCAAACAUGCCCAGCUCAGGACACAAGCCUGCUGCCCGAGGUAGUGCCAGGAGGGUUGCGUGGAUGGUGUUGAAUAAGUCAGCUCAAAACUUGUAGGCAUGCUGCUGAGACCUGAAAAGGAGAUUAGGGCUGGAAAAAUCUGCCUUGGCUGUCAGACCCAAGAGUCUUCACUGACCUGGACCCUUUGUCUUUAGGUUUUGCUCCCUGGGCCUUUCCCAGAGGGCUGCCCUGUCAAGGUAAGGGGUAGCAAAAGGAAUGCGUGCCCCGAGUGCUACCCAAAAUACCUUCUCUGGGGUGGUUCCAGCAACUCCAAGAAGCCCCAAAGACAGAGGCAGUGGAAAACUUGCUCUGGGUAGCAGACCCAAUGUGUGUCCUUGCUAAGGACUGGAGCCAAGGGGGGAAUGUCAGCUGCUAGGUAAGCUUCAGACCAAAUGAUCAUACCAGAAAGAAGAAGAGAGAAAAAUACUGAUUAAAAAAAAAAAAAACCAAAAACCAAAAAACAAAACAAAACAAAACAACAAAACUUGGAAAUGCUCAAAACUGUUGCCCAUGGCAUUGAGUUGAGCAAAGAUGUGAUGAGCAAAGCGGGAUCAGCAGGUAGGAAAUGACACCAGUGCUGCUCUUAUUGAAGAAGAGGUUUAGUCCAUGGAGUGAAAUUUUGAAAAGAGUUGUGAACGCUGCAGACGCAUUGGGUAAAAAAUACUGCAGGCAUGGGAUGGUGGAAAGGAGCUGCAAAAGGAAGAAUGUCAGAAAUGUUACAUUAGGUUCAAUCAAAGGUUUCUGGUGUCCAUCCGCAGGCAGCAGCGACUCCUUGGGGAUGGAGCAUAUGGGAUGGAACAUGUAUGCUGUGAUCUUUAGAGCCAAGGGUUGCACCUGGCCUGUGAUUUUCAGACAGUUCCCAACAGAUCAGCCUUCCUCAAGUGUGAAUCCAUUCCUCAUUCAUCCCUCCACACCGUCCGCUGGUGUCAGAUACAACGGGGUGCUGUGUCUGUAGGAAGCGGGCUGUGAGUUUUUGUGCCGCUGGCAGUGGCACAGUGCUCAUCUUCAACUUCGUACCCCAAAUUCCCAACAGAAGUGGAGGAAACUUCAACCAGUGCUGUUCUUGGCGAUUCCUGCUGCUGUCGUUCAGCUGUGAGCCCUGGGUCACGGUGCAGCUGGGGCCGCUGCGAGCUGCCGGGGAUCACCAGUGCACACCGGGGUGGACCGGGAGCCGAACAACAGCGUGACCAGGACUCGGCACUACAACCCAGAAUCGUGUUGGCUUUGGCCAUGAGCGGCUGGGGGAGUGCGACUGAAGAUGGCAUCUGAAUUUUUGCGGUGUGCAGGUUACACGGCAGAGCACACAGACUCUGACAGUUUUGCUCAGUGCAUGUUUCAGGGGUGAUUGGUCCUGAGGACCCCACAGCUUCUCAUAAAUUCAGGUACAAUUUCAAAGAAUAACUAAAAUGCAAAGGAAAAAAAAUAAUAAAGUGUUCUCUUGAUAUCUGUGCAAAUUGUCAGCUCAGCCAUGUUCUUACGAACCUUCACUCAAACUGGACUGAAAGAGAGCAUUACAUUAGUUAAAAAAAAAUAAAAAUAAAAAUAAAGUCCCCUGUGAAAAUGAA